rnacentral:lncRNA from 1 species
CUUACAAUACUUGAAUAGAUACCAAUACAACUAUAACCAUUAACUCAUAAUACACACUUAUUCGAUCAGCUUUCCUUUUCCUUUGUUCGUGCCUGAGCCUUCAGGUUGCUCAUACAUAACUGAAAACAUUUAAUUUAAGCAAGGAUGAGCAUUUGAGUGCCCAGCAAGUAAUAGCAAUUAUAUAUAUAAGCUGAAAGAAUAUAAGUAUUCUCUUUACAUAACACUUCUACAACGAAUCGAAAGUUGUGAAGUAAUCUGUACUGAUAAAAAAUUCACAUAACAACUCUCUUUCAAUUUCUUGAAAUUAGGCUCCACCCAUGAAUAGGGUUUAAGAAACAUACUAUGAACAUUGUUUUUCAUUUUCGAAAAGGUUUAGCAGAAAUUCAUCCGCAAACCGUCAUAGCUUACGGGCACGGAGGGUGAUCAGCCCCGUUGUACCCUGUAUUGAUCAAUACUACAUAACUUGAACGAAAUUCAUCGCUCACUCUAUCCGCCUUGGGCGCAAAAAUCUUCCCAUAUAGGGAUGUUCAUACAUGCCUGGUUCCAAACCCGAAGGUUUUUAAUCUUGCUCAACAAUAAUAUGUAAUUCAACAUAUAUGUAUACGGGUAAUUGACAAAGGUAUAUCAACAUGUGAAUAAAUGCCAUGAUUAUCCAAGUGGGGACACUUGUAUAACCAUUUAGAAAUCAACUUAAUAGAAUAUAUAUAUGAGCUAACAUGUUGAUAAUCAUAGCGUACAUAAUCUGUACAGGAAUAGAAUAAUUCUGAAACUUCUUACUCAUGUCCAUUGCAUAAAGAAAAUGCAAAGGUAGGAUACUUGCCUGAUUCGCUGAUUACCAAUCUCAACUCAGGUUUUAUCUCUUUAUCACAACCUAUCAAUAAUCAGAUCACUCGUUCGAUUAGAACAAUAUAUCUUAACACAUAGUACUAUCUAUUACAGUCUGCACAUAAUCACAGUGAUCAUACUUUUAGUUCCUAUUCUAUACUUGAAAUAUUUUUAUAAAUUUUUCAAAUAUCUCAUCCAUGCUCUUACAGUAGCCUUUUCUUUCUAUUAUAGGGUCUGACAUUUGUCGGCGUACCGACAACUUUAUCAGGUAAAUACUGAGUCUAAGACUCUUAUUCUAUACCUCAACAUCUGCAAAUAUUAGACAUCUUAUUUUUAACAAUUUUCGAAAUUUCCAGAAAUUGAAAAAUUUAAAAUAAUUCAAAUUUGUCACUAAAGGGCCUAUAGUGAUAUAACUGUUACUAUAGGUGUUCUUCAAAACUUCAUAACUUCAUAAUCGGUUCUCAAGUCAGCUAGUUUGGCCGGCUAUAACUUUCAAACAUCGGAAUCAUAAUUAAAUGAUUUAAACAUUAAACAAUUCCAUUAUCAUUAAUAAUUAAUUUAUAUUAAACUAUUAAUGAAACCAUUGCCAAAAUAUAAAAGUUAUUUAUAAUAACUCAAACUAUUUUUAAAACAUUUAUAUUACCCUUAAAUGAUUUUUAAAACAAUUAAAAUCAUUUUUAAAUAAUCACCAUUAAUAUAUAAAUAUUAAUGUACUAUUCAUCCAAAUAUUAAAAGUCAUUAAUUAUAACUUAAAAUAUUUUUAAAUCCUUAAUAUCCUCUUUAAAUGAUUUUUAAAUAAAUAAAACCAUUUUUAAACUAUUUAUUUAAUAAUAAUUAUUAAAUAAACUAAAUAUCAUUAAUAUUAUCUUAAUAUCAUUAAUAUUAAAUUAUUAAUGAAAUUAUCCUUUAAAUAUUAAAAGUUAUAUUUUAUAACUUAAAAUAUUUUUAAAUACCUUAAUUUCAUUUAAAAUGAUUUUUAUAAUAUUAAAAUCAUUUUUAAACUAAAUUAUUUAAUAUAAUCAUUAAAUAACUUUAAUAUCAUUAAUAUAUAAUUAAUUAAUGAAAUUCAUCACAAAAUAUUAAAAGUCAUGGAAAAUAACUUAAAAUAUUUUCUUAUACCAUAAUAUAAUUUUUCAUGAUUUUUCAUGAAUUAAAACUAUUUUUAAAUAAUUUAUUUAAUAUUAUAAUUAAAUAAAUAAAUACUUUUUAUAUUCCAAAAAUAUUAAAUAUUUAUGAAAUAUACUCAAAAUAAUUAAAAACUAUUUUUCGGACUUUAAAAUAAUUUUUCAGAAUUUAUUUGGUAUUUUUAAUAAUUAAAAUCGAAUUUUUCUAAUUGUUAAAUCAAUUUCCGGAAAAUAAUAAUAAUAACCGUCGCUAAAGGCCCCUAUAGUGACAGAAGCGUCGCUAUAGGUGUUCUUCACCAACCCAGAUUUCAUAAGGCAGUUAGCGAGUAGGCACGUUUGACCGAGUAUAACUCUCUCAUCUGAACGAAUUUGGACAAUCUAUAAAUUAGGUCUUGUAGAGAAAAUACCAGACUACAAUUUCCAACAAUCAUAACGUUUAAACAACAUCAGAUCUGGGAGAAAUCAGCCAUCAAAGUAGCUUCCAAAGCUGUUCUUCACGAAGAACAAUUUGAGGUGCUUAUAACUUAAUGAUCGUGUAACUUUUUGGUGAUCUAUCAACUCCAGUGUGUAGACAACAUGUAGGACUAUAACUUCAAACCUUAACAUCAUCAUAAAAACAUAAUAUCUAACCGGAAAUCGUUGGUCAAAGUGCAACACGGAACUUGUUCAUGAAAAAUCUGGUUUCACUAGUUUGGCAGAUUUGGUCAACGGGUUUUGACCGCUUAUAUCUCUCAAUCUAAAACUGAUCUAGACUUGAUUCGUUUUGCAUCUUAAAGACCACAUAACAAGCUGCACAUACCAUCUUUACAACACCACAAACAGUAAAUAAUCACAGAGAUAUAAGGCUUCACAUUUGCCCAAAAAUAACAGAAUUCGAUUUUUCAAAAGAUGGAAAAACUUUGAUUUUGAGCACUUUGAUGUUAUGGGUCAUGAAUGUAACAAUCCAGUACAUUAAUAGACUCUCUAUUACACAACUUUAAACAAUCAAUUGCAUCAAUUAACAUCGAAUCGAAGGAUUUCUAGAAUUUAGGAUUUCCUACCUUUUCAAGCUUGAUUUUUGAUUUCUGGCUUCUUGAUGCUUCUGAUUUGUGGUUUGUGAN